rnacentral:rRNA from 1 species
AUUGAACGCUGGCGGCAGGCCUAACACAUGCAAUUCGAGCGAUCGGCGUACGGGUGAGUAAUGUAUGGGGACUGCCCGAUAGAGGGGGAUAACUACUGGAAACGGUAGCUAAUACCGCAUACUAUCGGAUAACCCAUAUAGGAUUAGCUAGUAGGUGAGGUAAUGGCUCACCUAGGCUACGAUCCCUAGCUUGUCUGAUAGGCUGAUCAGCCACACUGGGACUGAGACAAGGGCCAGACUCCUACGGAGGCAGCAGUGGGGAAUAUUGCACAAUGGGCGCAAGCCUGAUCCAGCCAGCCCGCGUGUAUGAUGAAGGCCUUCGGGUUGUAAAGUACUUUUGGCAGAGAAGCGGUAUCUGCAGAAUAAGCACCGGCUAACUACGUGCCAGCAGCCGCGGUAAUAC